AUGUUUUUGACGGUUGAGAAUAUAAGUCUGUGGAAUGGGAUAUUCAACGGUGAGGAGCAGUUAGUUAUACAUGCGCAAUGGAGAAUGAUUAUUCAGACACUAAUAGCACUAGAGUUUCGGACAGAGGAGGUUCCACGUCUACUGUUGGAGGAGGCAGGGGGUGCUGCCACCGUGGGUUUUGACCCGUCCUACGAGUGGGGUGGUGGGAAAUGGAAAGAGAGUGAUUUGAGUAGCCUUGAGGAUCUCAUGAAUGAACAUUCUUCUCUGCCUCCUCAAAUCGCUGAAUGGUUUUGGUGUAUCCAAAUUCGUCAAGGACUUCCGCUGCACACUCGAUUUGAUGAACAUGGGUUAUCCUUCCACUAAAAUGACUAUGGAAGCAGGAUCAAUGAAGUCCUGUCUCUUACAAUCUUGGAGUUCUUGUUUGAUCCAACCAAGAUUGAUGCUGCUUCCAAGAAUUGAGUUUGAUUUAUCUUUGAGCAGCACCCAUGUUCUCAAUGCCAUUCUGAAACACAUUCCACUAUCAGAACUACGACCGGGCAUGCCGCAGCUAUCAAAGUUCCAUUUAUUAUUGCCCGUAAGAACAUGUCAUUGCCACAAUGUGCACUGGAGAAGCUCCUACCUACCGUAGAAGUAAAUGACCCUGUUUAUAGAGAUCAUCAACCAGAGCAGAUGGAUGAUGCAUGCGAGGAGAUGAGCAGCAAGCGCAUAGUGCUGCUGGUUUCGGAACAAACCAAUAUAAACGAUAAGGAUAAAGUCCAGCCCCGGGGCAAGAAGAAUGCAAACAUUCCACCAAGACCGGAGACCGUAUGCUGGAAAUGUGAAAGAGAAGGAGGACCGUCGCUGUUGAUAUUGUAGCAGAAGCGAGUGUGCAGCAAAAGUUGGCAAAGAAUGCUUGAAUUGUCCGGUUCAGUACGACUUGAAUGACCACGAAUCUCGGAAGUUGUUGAGUUGUGCAAAGAGAAGACUCUUGAAGUUUUUACAGCUACUUUGUGGAGCAAGCAAGAGGCUGAAAUAGAUGGAAGGUCCUGCCUGUGACAACCUCUCCUACUCAUACUCACUAUUGUAAAUUUUUCUGGGUAAUUACAUAAUUGUAAUUUGUUGUAAAAAAAAACUGUGAAUGGUGAUACUUUACAGUAACUACAUAUUUUUACCAAAGAGUUAAAAAAAAAGAAGAGUUACCAGAGGCAAGUGACG